UUUAAAUGUUCCACGGUUAUUCUUUAGGCAUCUUUUCCAUUACACGGUUGUUCAAACGUACGGUGUGUAAGCCGUACGGUUGAAAAAACGUGCUAGCUUGUACAUGAUACGGCAAAAUCACCGCGCGAGACAUCGG